GGAAAAAAAAGAAAAAGAAAAAUACUAAAACUGCCAACUGUCCUUCUAAGAUAGUCUACCGCCAAGACUUGAAGAGAAAUGUGGCGUUUUCCUUUUUGGAGGGGUCAACCCACUGAGUUCGGAAGACAGGUUUUUUCCAUUAAGAUUUGUCUGGGGAGGUUCAAUUAAUGGUAAUAAGUCGUCGUCCUCAUCGUCAGCAUCAUCAUCAUCAUCAUCUAAUUGCUAUGAAAUGAAACUGCCACCUCAAGGAGCAGAAGAGAACAUUCAAAAGACAUCAGUGCUGAGUCGAGAUGCCUUCACUGUCUGCUCUGUUGCUGAGCCCCGUGGGUCUAGACUGGCCACCCGACAACCUGGCAGCCAGGGACAGCUCGCCCAGUGUUUUCCAGUUACAUCUGUGUCAGUUAAAGGACUCUGAAUCGUUUUAUGACUGAAUCUCAAUCACAAAAGCUUUGUAACUGUAUCUCACAGUGAUUCAAUAAAUAAAUACAAUAAAAUGAAAAAAGGACACUGAAUCUGGAAUUUAAGGAUCCACAUCCAGGUUCCCAUUUCUAAUAGUGAAGAAUUGGAAUAGCCCAAGUGUUCAACCAAUGAGCAGACAUUUCAAUAAACCACCAAUAGUCUAUCCCUUAGACAAACAGUACAAACAACAUUGCCAAGAUCAUGAAAGGAAAGAAGCAGCAGAAGAACACCAUUGCAUGGAUGGAGUAUACUGAACAGAGGAAGCAUGCCCUAGUAGCUUGAGUAAAAAAAAAAGAAGAGAGCAGGAGACUCAGAACUGAGAGAGAGAAGCUGCCCUAUCAGGACCUCAGCCUCACUGGAUUCAGCACUGACCACCCCACCUCUACCACAAAGGUUUUGCCAAUGGGUUGAUUAUUUUGUGAGGAGAAACCCACUUGUGAUUCUGGGGAGCGGGGGCUAGAAGUCCCAAGAAGCACCAAGAUAAGCACUUUUCUAACUGAAGAAGGAAUCUAUGCCAAUGCCUCAGUCAGCAGAUCCAAGACACAGAUAUGAAGUAACUCAUCCAAAAUCACACAGCUAAUAAAUCAGAAAGUUGGCGUUUGAACCUCAGAGGACAACUCUGGAGUCUGGCACUUUAUCUGCUAUAAACAACUCUCACUGAUAGAAGAAAAGAAAGUUGAGAAAGACCUGAGGGAGUGGGUCAGUGCUAGGACAAGAGAAACAAAUAUACACGCCACCUGUGGUGACAGGCCCCCUGAUUCAGCUUUGGCACAGCUCUCUGAGCUGCAGCACCCUCCCUGCAGUACUCAUCACUUCCAGAAAAGGCCAUUCCUUAGAGAAGGCUCCAUAGCUGGAACAUAAGGUGUUCAGGCAAUGGAAGAAAUUGCUCAGUUGCUUUGGGCAUCACCCACCUGUCUGUCUGUCUGUUAUUGGAAGUUAUGCAUUUUGACUUUAUAAAUGAACAGAGCUGGUUUUUUCCCACCCCUGGCUCUUAGAUUAAGGAAGAAGGAUAUAAACACUUUAGUCAGAAAAUUUUCUUAGCUUCAGAAUAUUCUUAACAUCAUGACAAUUCUAUAAUAGUGGGGGGAAAUGCAUUUAUGUGCCAAACUAUUUGGAACAUAAGUGGCUCUUUUAAUUAAAAUUCAGACAGAAAUUUUAGAUUUGUUACUGAGAAACCAUCAAUCAUGCCUAUGAAUGGUUCACUCUGAGUUGACCUUAAACUGUAGGAAAUUGCCAUUUUCAAUUCACAAAUUACUUUCUUCCCCACCUCUUUACAUCACCAUUUCACUUUCACUUGUCUCAUUACCAUGGUCUUCUUGAUUUUUGUUUAAGAAAAAGAAGAAAAUAGAAAGGAAAUAAACUUUUGCUAA